rnacentral:rRNA from 1 species
UAACCUGCCCAAGAGAUCGGGAUAACACCUGAAACAGAUGCUAAUACCGGAUAACAACAGAUGAUGCCUAUCAACUGUUUAAAAGAUGGUUCUGCUAUCACUCUUGGAUGGACCUGCGGUGCAUUAGCUAGUUGGUAGGGUAACGGCCUACCAAGGCGAUGAUGCAUAGCCUAGUUGAGAGACUGAUCGGCCACAUUGGGACUGAGACACGGCCCAAACUCCUACGGGAGGCAGCAGAC